rnacentral:rRNA from 1 species
AUUGAACGCUGGCGGCAGGCCUAACACAUGCAAGUCGAGCGGAUGAAGGGAGCUUGCUCCUGGAUUCAGCGGCGGACGGGUGAGUAAUGCCUAGGGAUCUGCCUGGUAGUGGGGGAUAACGUCCGGAAACGGGCGCUAAUACCGCAUACGUCCUGAGGGAGAAAGUGGGGGAUCUUCGGACCUCACGCUAUCAGAUGAGCCUAGGUUGGAUUAGCUAGUUGGUGGGGUAAAGGCCUACCAAGGCGACGAUCCGUAACUGGUCUGAGAGGAUGAUCAGUCACACUGGAACUGAGACACGGUCCAGACUCCUACGGGAGGCAGCAGUGGGGAAUAUUGGACAAUGGGCGAAAGCCUGAUCCAGCCAUGCCGCGUGUGUGAAGAAGGUCUUCGGAUUGUAAAGCACUUUAAGUUGGGAGGAAGGGCAGUAAGUUAAUACCUUGCUGUUUUGACGUUACCAACAGAAUAAGCACCGGCUAACUUCGUG